rnacentral:rRNA from 1 species
GUGGGGAAUUUUGGACAAUGGGCGAAAGCCUGAUCCAGCAAUGCCGCGUGCAGGAUGAAGGCCCUCGGGUUGUAAACUGCUUUUGUACGGAACGAAAAGCCUGGGGCUAAUAUCCCCGGGUCAUGACGGUACCGUAAGAAUAAGCACCGGCUAACUACGUGCCAGCAGCCGCGGUAAUACGUAGGGUGCAAGCGUUAAUCGGAAUUACUGGGCGUAAAGCGUGCGCAGGCGGUUUUGUAAGACAGUGGUGAAAUCCCCGGGCUCAACCUGGGAACUGCCAUUGUGACUGCAAGGCUAGAGUGCGGCAGAGGGGGAUGGAAUUCCGCGUGUAGCAGUGAAAUGCGUAGAUAUGCGGAGGAACACCGAUGGCGAAGGCAAUCCCCUGGGCCUGCACUGACGCUCAUGCACGAAAGCGUGGGGAGCAAACAGGAUUAGAAACCCGAGUAGUCC